UGAAGGCGACAUCUGCGGGGGGUUCCUCCAGCGACUUCGACGUUGAGGAGGACGAGGAGGAGGAAGAUGACUACGAGGACGAUGACGAGUAUGAAACUGAAGAGGGAGAGGAGGAAGAAGAGGAUGAAGCGGCAGACAGCAAGUCCAAAAAGACAGGUGGCGCAUUUGGAGGGAAACUGGAAACCAAAAAAACCACCGGAACAUCCGCAGGAGCAUCAUCCUCUGCUAAGCCCAAGUCCACCAAAUCCACCGCCAGUGGAGGGGCGUCCUCUUCAGCGGCCGCAGCCAGUGGUUCCAAGGCGUCCAAGAGCACGGCAGAUGCCAGCUCCAAAGCCAGUGGGUCCAAAUCCAAGAGGAAGACAUCGGCAACCAAGGACACCAAAGCAACCACCAUUAACGAGGAGGACGAGGAAGUGGAAUAUGAGUACUUUGAG